GAAGCCAGGCUGAGGAACAGCAGGCGGCCCAGGCCGCGGAAGGCCCCCUCGGCCACCACCUCCACUUGACAGUGCUGCAGGUCCAGGUGCGUGAGCAGCCAAAGGGAAUUUUCCAGACUACAGAGUGGACCCUGAUACUCCCAAUGGAAACCUUCCUGCUGUCCAGGUAUCUCCUUUAGUGGAAAGUUCCCAUUCCUCGCGCCUCCAGAGGAAUGUACAAGUUCUCUGUCACACACACUUCAAGUGCCCCCGGCCCCGCUGCACAGGACCAGCAACAGCUAAUUGACUCGGCUCCUGCUGCAUGCUUGAGUCGCAGUUUUCUCAGCGCCUUGGCUUUCUCCAGACUCUGGCUUGGGAGGCAGGGUAGGAAGUGAGCCAAUUAGGCUGAUUCCUGAAGAGACAAAGGUCCAAGGCAUAGAGGGCUGCCAUGGAUUUCUCUUCGUAAGGCUCCAAAGGACUACAGCGCAGGGGAGCAUGGGGCAACUGCAUCCUCCCUUCUUUAGGGCCCACCUCUGGAGACCCUCAGGUACAGGAAGAUCCCGUACAGGAAGAUCUGCAGCCCCCUUCUCAGAGGCACAGAAAGGGGUCGUCUAUGGCUACCUAGUUCGUCUGUGCACCCCGAGGGCCCCCAAACUCACCCCUCCAU